rnacentral:lncRNA from 1 species
ACAAAAUAUUUCCCCUGGACCUUAUCGCUGGAACGAGUAAUGCAGUAUUCUAUACAGGGAACCAGUUUUUUGGCUCCGAAAAAUGAAUUUCUUCAAUUUUGUGACAACAUUGAGAUGAAAAAAAAAGCAACAAAGUAUAAGUCUUACCAUUUAAACUUUUAUUGACAGUAAGUUUGAUGGUAAAAUAAACAUUUUACACAAUUAUAAUCAAAAUCAAAUUUUAAAGUUUUGCCUGGCAAAGGGAGAUAAUUAUAUUAAAUUUUCCCGUAUUU